AUUGAACGCUGGCGGCAUGCCUUACACAUGCAAGUCGAACGGCAGCACGGGUGCUUGCACCUGAUGGCGAGUGGCGAACGGGUGAGUAAUACAUCGGAACGUACCUUAUCGUGGGGGAUAACGCAGCGAAAGCUGUGCUAAUACCGCAUACGCCCUGAGGGGGAAAGCGGGGGAUCGCAAGACCUCGCGCGAUUAGAGCGGCCGAUGCCUGAUUAGCUUGUUGGUGGGGUAAAAGCCCACCAAGGCGACGAUCAGUAGCUGGUCUGAGAGGACGAUCAGCUACACUGGGACUGAGACACGGCCCAGACUCCUACGGGAGGCAGCAGUGGGGAAUUUUGGACAAUGGGGGCAACCCUGAUCCAGCAAUGCCGCGUGAGUGAAGAAGGCCUUCGGGUUGUAAAGCUCUUUUGUCAGGGAAGAAACACCGGCUCUAACACAGUCUGGGAAUGACGGUACCUGAAGAAUAAGCACCGGCUAACUACGUGCCAGCCGCCGCCGUAA
rnacentral:rRNA from 1 species